CAGCAGUGGGGAAUAUUGCACAAUGGGGGAAACCCUGAUGCAGCGACGCCGCGUGAGUGAAGAAGUAUUUCGGUAUGUAAAGCUCUAUCAGCAGGGAAGAAAUACUGACCAUAGGGUCAGCAGACGGUACUUGACUAAGAAGCCCCGGCUAACUACGUGCCAGCAGCCGCGGUAAUACGUAGGGGGCAAGCGUUAUCCGGAUUUACUGGGUGUAAAGGGAGCGUAGACGGCAGCGCAAGUCUGAAGUGAAAUGCCAGGGCUUAACCCUGGAACUGCUUUGGAAACUGUGCAGCUAGAGUGCAGGAGAGGUAAGUGGAAUUUCUAGUGUAGCGGUGAAAUGCGUAGAUAUUAGGAGGAACACCAGUGGCGAAGGCGGCUUACUGGACUGUAACUGACGUUGAGGCUCGAAAGCGUGGGGAGCAAACAGGAUUAGAUACCCUGGUAGUCCACGCUGUAAACGAUGAUUACUAGGUGUUGGGGGACCAAGGUUCUUCG
rnacentral:rRNA from 1 species